rnacentral:lncRNA from 1 species
AGACUGGAUUACAUUUUAUUCGCCAUAUUAUGCUAUUGGAAUUUUUAUGGGUCUGGUGGUAUAUUAAACGGUCACUGCAGUGGUGGGGGUUUCCGUGGACUGCCUAUGAGAGGGGCACGGUAACUCAAUUAUAUACUUACCUCCGGGGGGAGAUGUUGGGUGAAGUAUCUCCUGAGGUAUGAUUUGAGUGCACCUCACGUUCGGGCCACCACGUGAGAGUGAGACUCAGCCAACGCCAAGGAACGACUAUGUUUCAAAAUAAAAAUAUGAUUUAUGCGGAAUAUGAAUUUUUAACAGCCUUGGCGGACUCGGUUGGAUACCCCUAGUCCAAGUGUCCUCUAGUAUAGGAUUUGGCAUGAGCCAAGUUUUGAGUAAUUCACGAGCCAUAUUGAUUAUUUGGUUGAAAUGAAUAUUCGUGAUGUGAAAAAUUUGCUGAAGUUAAUUAUUUUUAAUUGUCUCCAUUUACUCGCCUUUAGAUAGUU